UGCAGUAACAGCCCCGGUAGACGGGGGCCAUGAGAUGAGCAAACUUCUGGCAAAGCUGUCCAAACCCUACCGCUGCAAGAGAGGGCCACUGUGGAGGACAUGCAUCUUAAUUGGUGACAUGAAAAACAUCUCCCAGAUGCUGAAUUGGGUUGCAAUGGGUCAAGAUGCUGAUGCAGAAGGACACGCCCAGGGUGCCAGUCUAGAGCCUUACUUUGGACCGCACCACUCAUCUGAUAGAAGAUGGAAUUUUGGUUUUGGAAGUUUUAAGCCAUUUCUCCUAGAGAAAGCAAAGUUACUGGGCACACGGGCCACCUUGGGAAUGCCAAAUUCAUACUGAAUGCUGGAAGACUACAGCCAGUCAUUUCUGAGAAACAGUUCUCUAAAAGUCAUGUGAAUUACCUUACCAAGAAAUCCCUGAAGGAGACUAAUCUCUGUGAUUGGCUUCGUGUGGUUGAAUCAGACAAGGAGACUUAAGAACUUUGUUAUUUACAGAGAAGUCAAGAUGAAGAUAGGUCAGAAUCUGAGGGCUAGCUGGCUGUCGCUUUUUAAUAAAAUGGAGUAUGCUUGAGAAAGAAACCUAGAGAAGGACAUUUUUAUCAGCAAAUAAAAGUCAUAGUAAUCUUAAACAAAAAACUGAUCCCUAUACUUUUAGCUUCCUGUGACUGUGUCUUGCAGAGGGGGUUAAAUAAUACAUUUAAUUAUUUUUCCUAAAAUGAGAUUUUCUAUAUUUUUUAAAGAUUUAUUUAUUUACUUGUUUGUUUGUUUGCUUAUGAAUAUGAGUGCACUGUAGCUGAACAGAUGGUUGUAAGCCUUCAUGUGGUUGCUGGGGAUUGAACUCAGGACCUCUACUGGCUCAGGUCAACCCUGCUCUCUCUGGUUGGCCCCUCUCACUCCGGUUAAUCUUGCUCGCUCAGUUCCUGUUUGCUCCAGUCCAAAGAUUUUUAUUUAUUAUUAUUAUAUUUAAGUACACUGUAGCUGUCUUCAGACACAGCAGAAGAGGGCAUCAGAUCUCACUAUGGAUGGUUAUGGAUGGUUGUGGGCCACCAUGUGGUUGCUAGGAUUUGAAUUCAGGACCUUCGGGAGAGCAGUCAGUGCUCUUACCCGCUGAGCCAUCUCACCAGCCCUGAGAUUUCCUAUUUUUGAGUGACUGGGAAAACACUUUUUCCGACAAGUGAAGGCUAAAUGAGUACCCUGAACCCAGUCUUGAAUCUUCCCGGAACUGGGGAGUGUCGUCCAUACACGUAGACAUUGGGAUGCUAUCGCCUGUGAGAACUUCAAACCUCACACUGCUCUGAAGGGAAUCAAAUCUAUGAAGAAGAGCAGUUUCUAUCUCCAUUAACAGCAGUAAAAUAACAUGUGUCCAUUACUGGCUUCUCUGUGUAGCACCAUGCAUGUUUCAGGGUAUCUGAUCCAGUUAGUUUCAGAACAAGCCUGCUGAGCGAGGUUAGGAAACUGGGGUCCUCAGAAGUUUUUAAGUAAGUGAGAAAGCUGUGAGGGAAGGAGAGAAUGGCUGUCAGGUACAGCACAGAAAUAGGCCGGAGAAACAGGAAGUCGAGUAGCACUGGGUAGGGGACAGUAAGGAAGACAGCACCAUCACACUCACCAAGUGUCACUCUCUUCAAGGUCUCAGAGAACUUACCCCGGAGAGUGAGCCCUGGACAGCAGAUGGUGGAAUCAGUAAGGAUCUUAUGCUAGCCCAAAGACCAAGAGAAUAGUCUGAAUAUAGAGGCAACUCAAGGAGUUUAGACAAAAGUGGAAAGUUGGUGGCCCAGAAAUUGGAAGGAUGCACUGUGAUGUCAGACAGGUCUGGCUUGACGCUGCUCCGCCACUUGAAGAAGCUCUGCUACUCUACUUCUUGUUUCUCGAGCCCAUUUCCGUAUGGUACCAUGCCACAGCGCAAUGGCUAUCUUAGCACUGUCAUCACUGCCAGAGAUUGAACAUCUCCUGAGCAGAACUGCUCAGUCUCAAGAAUCAAAGAAGAGAGUGCUGAAUUCUAUGACCUGGCAAACCCCACUUCGGUCAGAAGGUCUUCAUAAGUGACUUCCCCAAAUGUGACUAUUUCCCUCACGAGUACAGAGUGAUAGUCUUGAGACCGGAGCUGAUGGGGUGGAGGGGCAUGGUAGUCUGUGAGAGGCAGUUUCUCUGGUGAAAGGGGCAGGCAGCUUCCAAUAACCAAUCAAGUUAUAUUGA